CUUUGUUCAGUCUGGCCAAA
rnacentral:miRNA from 3 species